rnacentral:rRNA from 1 species
AUACAUGAGCAAAAUCUCAACUUUAUUAGAAGAGACGCAUUUAUUAGAUAAAAAGCCAAUGCAUGCUUUUACAGUAUGGAAAUUGGUGAUUUAUAAUAACUUAGCAAAUCGCAAAGUGAAAACAGGCGAUAAAUCAUUCAAGUUUCUGACCUAUCAGCUUUCGACGGUAUGGUAUUGGCUUACCGUGGCAGUGACGGUUAACGGGGGAUUAGGGUUCGAUUCCGGAGAGGGAGCCUGAGAAACGGCUACCACAUCUAAGGAAGGCAGCAGGCGCGCAAAUUACCCAAUUCUAACAGUUUGAGAGAGGUAGUAACAAGAAAUAACAAUACAAGGCAAUUAAAAUGCUUUGUAAUUGGAAUGAUAGAAAUUUAAACCCUUUUUAAAGUAUCAAUUGGAGGGCAAGUCUGGUGCCAGCAGCCGCGGUAAUUCCAGCUCCAAUAGCGUAUAUUAAAAUUGUUGCAGUUAAAAAGCUUGUAGUUGAAGUUCUGCUAAAAGUAACCGGUAUGCUUUUAAUAAAAGUGGUAUCUUGGUGUGUAUUUAGCAAUGAUGUCCUUUGAAGUGUUUUUUACUUUAUUGUAAUAAAGCAUAUUCAGGACUUUUACUUUGAGAAAAUUAGAGUGUUUCUAGCAGGCCGACGCUUUGAAUACUGCAGCAUGGAAUAAUAAG